AUUGAACGCUGGCGGCAUGCCUUACACAUGCAAGUCGAACGGCAGCACGGGUGCUUGCACCUGGUGACGAGUGGCGAACGGGUGAGUAAUACAUCGGAACAUGUCCUGUAGUGGGGGAUAGCCCGGCGAAAGCCGGAUUAAUACCGCAUACGAUCCACGGAUGAAAGCGGGGGACCUUCGGGCCUCGCGCUAUAGGGUUGGCCGAUGGCUGAUUAGCUAGUUGGUGGGGUAAAGGCCUACCAAGGCGACGAUCAGUAGCUGGUCUGAGAGGACGACCAGCCACACUGGGACUGAGACACGGCCCAGACUCCUACGGGAGGCAGCAGUGGGGAAUUUUGGACAAUGGGCGAAAGCCUGAUCCAGCAAUGCCGCGUGUGUGAAGAAGGCCUUCGGGUUGUAAAGCACUUUUGUCCGGAAAGAAAUCCUUGGCUCUAAUACAGUCGGGGGAUGACGGUACCGGAAGAAUAAGCACCGGCUAACUACGUG
rnacentral:rRNA from 1 species